rnacentral:rRNA from 1 species
UUCGUAGGUGGCCGGCUAAGUCAGACGUGAGAUCCCUCAGCUUAACUGGGGAACUGCGUCUGAGACUGGUGGGCUUGAGUGCAGGAGAGGAACGCGGAAUUCCAGGUGUAGCGGUGAAAUGCGUAGAUAUCUGGAGGAACACCGGUGGCGAAGGCGGCGUUCUGGACUGCAACUGACACUGAGGAACGAAAGCCAGGGGAGCAAACG